UUCUUAUCAAGAGCAGGCGGAGGGACUAGCCCGAUGAAGCCCGGCAACCGGCAUAAGCACGGUGCUAAUUCUUGCGGAAACGACAACGUUUCUGGGAGAUGAGAG
rnacentral:ncRNA from 2 species